UAUAAAUAAAGCUUGGCUCUGACUUAAAGAUAUAGCAUUAGCAAAGGAAUACACAUGGUUUUGAUUGAUAGUAGUGAGGCUUAAGAGCAAACAAAAUACAGCAGAAAACAUAUCUUUGUUUGUUUUUAAAGGCAUUAUUUUAUAAAUAAUUCCAAGAUUGUACCACUAUACACCAGUGUCAAAUAUUAAUAUAGAAGCGAAAGCUUGCUUUAGACUAGCUAAGAGAUUUGGUUAAUUUGGUGCCAGCAUCCGCGGUUAGACCAAAAAAUCAAGCUAUAUAACAUAGGUAAAAAGAUAGUUAAACUAGAAUUUGGUUUCAAGAUUUUUUAUUUAGAAGUAAAAUUUGAGAAUAAAAAAGUAUUUUAGUUGUAGCCUAAAAUGUUGAAGCUAUGAUAAUUUAGAAAUAAACUAGGAUUAGAUGCCCUAUUAUCCUAAAUUGUAAAUUUAUAUGAAUACAUAUUACCUGAGUACUACGAGUUCAAAAAACUUAAAACUCAAAGGGCUUGGCGGUACUUCAUACCAUUUAGGGGAACCUGUCUCGUAAUCGACAAUCCACGUUGUACCUUACCUUAUUUAGUAAUUCAGUUUGUAUACCGUUGUCGUUCAGGUAACUUUUAAAAAUAUAGAAGUUGGCAAAAAAGAAAUUAAUCUUAGACGUCAAAUCAAGGUGCAGCCUAUAAAAAGGAGAGGAUGGGUUACAAUUAAUAAUUAUAAUUACGGAAUAAAGACUUAAACACUUUAUGAAGGAGGACUUGAAAGUAAAAAUUUGUAGACAAAAUUUUUGAAUUCGGCUCUGAAGUGUGCACACAUCGCCCGUCGCUCUCGUUGAAAAAUGAGAUAAGUCGUAACAUAGUAGGAGUAAUGGAAAUUGCUCCUGGAUG
rnacentral:ncRNA from 1 species